GACGAACGCUGGCGGCGUGCUUAACACAUGCAAGUCGAACGGAAAGGCCCUGCUUUUGUGGGGUGCUCGAUUGGCGAACGGGUGAGUAACACGUGAGUAACCUGCCCUUGACUUUGGGAUAACUUCUGGAAACUGGGGCUAAUACCGGAUAGGAUCUCUUGCUGCAUGGUGGUGGUUGGAAAGUUUCGGCGGUUGGGGAUGGACUCGCGGCUUAUCAGCUUGUUUGUGGGGUAGUGGCUUUCCAAGGGUUUGACGGGUAGCCGGCCUGAGAGGGUGACCGGCCACAUUGGGACUGAGAGACGGCGCAGACUGCUACCGGACGCAGCAGUCGGGAAUAUUGCGCAACAGGCGGAAGCCUGAUGCAGCAACGCCGCGUGCGGGAUGACCGCCUUCGGGUUGUAAACCGCUUUCGCCUGUGACGAAGCGGGAGUGACGGUAAUGGGUCAAGAAGCAACGGCUAACUACGUG
rnacentral:rRNA from 1 species